rnacentral:ncRNA from 1 species
CUGGAGAAGCCAGCGGGAGCCUCAGGGAGAGUUCUCUUUUCUUUGUGAAGGGCAGGGAUCCCUGAAAUGGUUUCGCCCUGAGGAGGGGCCGUGCCUUGGAAAACGUCGCAGUUCCGGUGACGAUCGGUGAGCUUUUGCUGGCCCUUGAAAAUCCAGGGGAAAGGGUGUAAAUCUCGCGCCAGGCCCUACCCAUAUCCGCAGCAGGUCUCCAAGGUGAACAGCC